rnacentral:rRNA from 1 species
UACGUAGGGUGCAAGCGUUGUCCGGAAUUAUUGGGCGUAAAGAGCUCGUAGGCGGUUUGUCGCGUCGAAUGUGAAAACCCGAGGCUCAACCUCGGGCCUGCAGUGGGUACGGGCAGACUAGAGUGCGGUAGGGGAGACUGGAAUUCCUGGUGUAGCGGUGAAAUGCGCAGAUAUCAGGAGGAACACCGGUGGCGAAGGCGGGUCUCUGGGCCGGAACUGACGCUGGAGGAGCGAAAGCGUGGGGAGCGAACAGG